GUCAAUAUGACUAUAAGGUGCCUUUGGUGCAGAAUCAGAAUCUGUCACCAUGAACACAAUGCAAAAUAAUGAAACUCUGGGGUUUUAUUAUGAAUGGGCAAACACUUACACAUAUACCAGUACAAUUCUAAACCUCUUGAAAUGUGAUUUUACUAUUUUAUGCAAUU